GAUGAACGCUGACAGAAUGCUUAACACAUGCAAGUCUUUGGCGAAGCUGUGCUUGCACAGCCUAGCCAAGGCGGACGGGUGAGUAACGCGUAAGGAACUUGCCCUGCAGUCAGGGAUAACAGACGGAAACGACUGAUAAGACCUGGUAAAGUCAGGCGGACUCAUGUCCAGCCUGAUGAAAAGUGAUGCUGCAGGAGAGCCUUGCGUCCUAUUAGCUUGUUGGUGGGGUAACGGCCCACCAAGGCGAUGAUAGGUAGCCGGCCUGAGAGGGUGGACGGCCACAAGGGGACUGAGAUACGGCCCUUACUCCUACGGGAGGCAGCAGUGGGGAAUAGUGGACAAUGGGGGCAACCCUGAUCCAGCAAUUCUGUGUGCACGAUGAAGGUUUUCGGAUUGUAAAGUGCUUUCAGCAGGGAAGAAAAAAAUGACGGUACCUGCAGAAGAAGCGACGGCUAAAUACGUG
rnacentral:rRNA from 1 species